GAUGAACGCUGGCGGCGUGCCUAAUACAUGCCAGUCGAGCGAACGGACGAGAAGCUUGCUUCUCUGAUGUUAGCGGCGGACGGGUGAGUAACACGUGGAUAACCUACCUAUAAGACUGGGAUAACUUCGGGAAACCGGAGCUAAUACCGGAUAAUAUUUUGAACCGCAUGGUUCAAAAGUAAAAGACGGUCUUGCUGUCACUUAUAGAUGGAUCCGCGCUGCAUUAGCUAGUUGGUAAGGUAACGGCUUACCAAUGCAACGAUGCAUAGCCGACCUGAGAGGGUGAUCGGCCACACUGGAACUGAGACACGGUCCAGACUCCUACGGGAGGCAGCAGUAGGGAAUCUUCCGCAAUGGGCGAAAGCCUGACGGAGCAACGCCGCGUGAGUGAUGAAGGUCUUCGGAUCGUAAAACUCUGUUAUUAGGGAAGAACAUAUGUGUAAGUAACUGUGCACAUCUUGACGGUACCUAAUCAGAAAGCCACGGCUAACUACGUG
rnacentral:rRNA from 1 species